rnacentral:tRNA from 5 species
GCUCGAGUGGCGGAACUGGUAGACGCGCUGGAUUCAAAAUCCAGUAACUUCGGUUGUGCGGGUUCGAUUCCCGCCUCGAGUA